rnacentral:rRNA from 1 species
AUUGAACGCUGGCGGCAUGCCUUACACAUGCAAGUCGAACGGCAGCACGGGUGCUUGCACCUGGCGGCGUGUGGCGAACGGGUGAGUAAUACAUCGGAACGUACCUUAUCGUGGGGGAUAACGCAGCGAAAGUUGCGCUAAUACCGCAUACGCCCUGAGGGGGAAAGCGGGGGACCGGAAGGCCUCGCGCGAUUAGAGCGGCCGAUGUCUGAUUAGCUUGUUGGUGAGGUAAAAGCUCACCAAGGCGAUGAUCAGUAGCUGGUCUGAGAGGACGAUCAGCCACACUGGGACUGAGACACGGCCCAGACUCCUACGGGAGGCAGCAGUGGGGAAUUUUGGACAAUGGGGGCAACCCUGAUCCAGCAAUGCCGCGUGAGUGAAGAAGGCCUUCGGGUUGUAAAGCUCUUUUGUCAGGGAAGAAACAGCAGCUCUAACACAGUCUGCGAAUGACGGUACCUGAAGAAUAAGCACCGGCUAACUACGUGCCAGCCGCCGCGGUAA